AUUGAACGCUAGCGGCACGCUUAACACAUGCAAGUCGAACGGUAACGGGACUAGCUUGCUAGUUGCCGACGAGUGGCGGACGGGUGAGUAACGCGUAGGAAUCUACCCUGGAGAGCGGGACAACUUGGGGAAACUCAAGCUAAUACCGCAUACGUCUUUAGAGAGAAAGCGAGGCUGCAAAGCGGCGCGCUCUGGGAUGAGCCUGCGUCAGAUUAGCUAGUUGGUGGGGUAAAGGCCUACCAAGGCAAAGAUCUGUAGCUGGUCUGAGAGGACGACCAGCCACACUGGGACUGAGACACGGCCCAGACUCCUACGGGAGGCAGCAGUGGGGAAUAUUGGACAAUGGGGGGAACCCUGAUCCAGCGAUGCCGCGUGUGUGAAGAAGGCCUGCGGGUUGUAAAGCACUUUCAGUAGAGAGGAAGGCUAGAGGGUAAAUACCCCUUUAGAUUGACGUGACCUACAGAAGAAGCACCGGCUAACUCUG
rnacentral:rRNA from 1 species